UCUAUCACAUUCUCUUUUAACUGGUAACGUCUUUUAAUGUCUCACUCUGUGAAAUCCCUGUCAGCAUAACAGGAGAUUCCAGGGAUCUGAAAUUAGAUUUCCCGAGUUGGAAUCUAUUAACACACUUGAGCUACACAAUUUGGGAUCAUACAAGGCAGAAGCAACUUUGGGAAUAAAACACAUUGCAGAAGAUUCCAAAAUCUGUGGUUUUAAACAUGAACCACUUAGAAUUUUAUUUGACAUAAUCGGAUUUCCGGAUCUCUACAUCUUCUCUUGCAUCACAGUACUAGUUACGGAUGGUUGGGCAGCACAACCUGAAUGGAUGGGAAUGUCCUCAGGACUCCACCCAGAAUGGAACUCAUUGUUGGCCUUCAGAAUGAGGAAAACAAUUUUAAAACUUGUUUGAAACUGCAAAUGAUCCAAAUGGCCAAAGCCAUCUGAACAAAAAAGAAUAAAGUAGGAGCAUUACAAUACAUGACUUCAAAAUAUGCUAUAAAGCUGUGGUAACAAAAACAGCAUUGUUUAAUACUGGUUUAGAAAAAGACAUAUUGACCAAAUACACAAUAUAAAUCCUAAAUAGAAUGUGUACCCAUGUUUAUAGCAGCACAAUUUGUAAAAGCCAGAUCUUGAAAGCCAUCAACUGAGGAAUAGAUAAAAAAGAUGUGGUAUUUUUAUACAAUGGAGUAUUACUCUGCCAUAAAAAAUGAUCACAUUGAGAUAUUCAUAAGUAAAUGGAUGCAACUUGAGACCUUCUCAUCAAUGAAAUAAAUCAAACUCACCUGUGUAAAUACCAUAUAGUCUCCCUAGUGUAAGAAAUGGUAAGAGUACAUAAGAUACAAAAAAGCUCAAUAAACACAAUAAAAGGACAAGAAUUUGCUUAAGGAGGAAAGAAUAAUAUCUCAGGGGAAAUGAGGGGAACAAAAGAAAAGGAAAAGAAAAAAAAAUAUAAAAUUAUAUAAACACACUUAGUAUAGCCAAGAUGAUUGUGCUACAAACUCUAUUAGUUCUUGGAACAAAAUAGCUAACAUUCAUAGGACUGGAACACUUGUGCAUAUUAUUGUAUGGUGAUCUGAGGAAUUCUUGAAGAUCAUUAUGUAAAAUAGCAGCCCUAGUUAGGCUCAUAGCUCUUUGUUUUGAAAGCCUAUAUUGUCAGUGUUCUGGGCUCUUUGCUACUGUUGUUUAAAUGUCAUUUUGUUUCAUGUUUUUCUAGGAAUUUGUUUUGUUUUGUCUUUUUUCCUCUAAUACAGAAAGAAUAGGUACGCAUGUAGCGAAUCAUGCCUGCGUAGAACUUCUAAACAGUUUAUAGGAAUCAAUUAUAUAAAGAUCAAUAAAAUGAACAGCUACUUUGAAGAAAAAGAGACACUAAGGUACCCGUUGCUGAUUCUGUAGCAUCAUGAUGUGAAAUCCAGCAACACUAUUAUUCUUUGUUCAGAGUGAUUUUAAUUUGGUUUAAUUUCAACAUAGGUAAAGUUAUGGACAGUUAUUUUGAAGAGAAUGAGAGACAUUAUGGCAGCCAUUGUUGACUUCUCUAUAUUCUGGUCUUGAAGACCUAAAAUGCCUUUAUCAUCCUGUUGGGAUCAGUUCUAUAUUAUAUUUUGCAUGAAUUCAUUGUAUGCAAAGAUAUGGACAACUAUGUGGAAUAAAACGAGACAAUGUGAUAGACAGUGAAAA